CCAUGUUGGGGAGGUCGGCGCUGAGGCAGAGGCCGUUCCCUGUCGCUCUCCCUCCUCGCUCAUUCCCAGUUGCCCACGCUCAUCUACAGCCCCGCGAGGCGCAGCUGAGGCGCGGGCAGCCACUCUACCUGCAGGAGUGACACUCAGCGCCUGCUGGAGCUCCUCCAUGUUCUGUGUAUCCCUCAGAGGCUCCAGCUCUCUGAGGGUACAGCAGGGAGGCGGGAUGUGACCUGUUGCUGGAGGGCUGUGGUGCCCCUCUUCCCAUAGAGACGUGCAUCCCGCAUGGAGGAGCCUCCUGGGCCGAGGGGACUCUCCAGAAGCCUCACGGAGAGCCGGGAUUGCCGGGAAGGAGCUGUGGGAUGUCCCAGGUGCUUUGUGCAGGGCUGGGAUAACCUGGGGGCACAUCUGGGGUUUGUCCCUCACCAGGAUGGGAGGAAACAUCCAAGGGAACGCUGCUGGAACGUUGGAAGGGAUCGAGCCGACCAUGCCAGGCACUGGCUGCUGGAAAAC